rnacentral:rRNA from 1 species
CUACAUGAAGCCGGAAUCGCUAGUAAUCGCGGAUCAGAAUGCCGCGGUGAAUACGUUCCCGGGUCUUGUACACACCGCCCGUCACACCAUGGGAGUCGGAAAUGCCCGAAGUCGGUGACCCAACCGCAAGGAGGGAGCCGCCGAAGGCAGGUCCGGUAACUGGGGUGAAGUCGUAACAAGGUAAC